UCCCAGUUAGUAUAGUGGCUAGUAUCCGCCCCUGUCAUGCAUAGCUGCACCGAUCGGGCGAGACCCGGGUUCAAUUCCCGGACUGGGAG